rnacentral:rRNA from 1 species
GGGUUGUGAGGUUAAGCGACUAAGCGUACACGGUGGAUGCCCUGGCAGUCAGAGGCGAUGAAGGACGUGCUAAUCUGCGAAAAGCGUCGGUAAGGUGAUAUGAACCGUUAUAGCCGGCGAUGUCCGAAUGGGGAAACCCAGUGCAAUUCGUUGCACUAUCGUUAAGUGA